GUCGCAAGACCAAAGAGGGGGACCUUCGGGCCUCUUGCCAUCAGAUGUGCCCAGAUGGGAUUAGCUAGUAGGUGGGGUAACGGCUCACCUAGGCGACGAUCCCUAGCUGGUCUGAGAGGAUGACCAGCCACACUGGAACUGAGACACGGUCCAGACUCCUACGGGAGGCAGCAGUGGGGAAUAUUGCACAAUGGGCGCAAGCCUGAUGCAGCCAUGCCGCGUGUAUGAAGAAGGCCUUCGGGUUGUAAAGUACUUUCAGCGGGGCAGGAAGGUGUUGUGGUUAAUAACCACAGCAAUUGACGUUACCCGCAGAAGAAGCACCGGCUAACUCCGUGCCAGCAGGCCGCCGGUAAUACGGAGGGUGCAAGCNGUCUCAACAUCGGAAUUACUGGGCCGUAACACGCGCACGCAAUGGCGCGUCUGUCNACGUCCGCGNAUGUCGAAAAUCCCCCGGGGUCAACCUGGGAAACUGCGACUUUNCCCGGACNACAUUGGGGCAGGGNCUUAGGACAGUCCUCUGGUCAACAAAGNNUGGUGGNGUUAACGCAAAACUACCCCACAGGGAUGUNUCAAACCGGCGAUGAAAACCAUGGCNCCAUA
rnacentral:rRNA from 1 species